rnacentral:snoRNA from 1 species
GUUCCCAGUGAUGCUCAACCAUGCUAAUGCUGAUCAUUGAUGAAUAACUCUUUCUUAAUAUUGCUGAGGGAACA